AUUGAACGCUGGCGGAAUGCUUUACACAUGCAAGUCGAACGGCAGCACGGACUUCGGUCUGGUGGCGAGUGGCGAACGGGUGAGUAAUGUAUCGGAACGUGCCCAGUCGUGGGGGAUAACGUAGUGAAAAUUACGCUAAUACCGCAUACGAUCUAUGGAUGAAAGCGGGGGAUCGCAAGACCUCGCGCGAUUGGAGCGGCCGAUAUCAGAUUAGGUAGUUGGUGGGGUAAAGGCCCACCAAGCCAACGAUCUGUAGCUGGUCUGAGAGGACGACCAGCCACACUGGAACGAGGACACGGUCAAGAAUCCUACGGGAGGCAGCAGGGGGGAAUUUUGGACNNNGGGCGAAAGCCUGNUCCAGCCAUUCCGCGUGCAGGAUGAAGGCCCUCGGGUUGUAAACUGCUUUUGUACAGAACGAAAAGGUUUCUACUAAUACUAGGAGCUCAUGACGGUACUGUAAGAAUAAGCACCGGCUAACUACGUGCCAGCCGCCGCCGUAA
rnacentral:rRNA from 1 species